GAUGAACGCUAUUUACAGGCUUAACACAUGCAAGUCGAGGGGCAGCAUUUUAGUUUGCUUGCAAACUGAAGAUGGCGACCGGCGCACGGGUGAGUAACACGUAUCCAACCUGCCGAUAACUCCGGAAUAGCCUUUCGAAAGAAAGAUUAAUACCGGAUAGCAUACGAAUAUCGCAUGAUAUUUUUAUUAAAGAAUUUCGGUUAUCGAUGGGGAUGCGUUCCAUUAGUUUGUUGGCGGGGUAACGGCCCACCAAGACUACGAUGGAUAGGGGUUCUGAGAGGAAGGUCCCCCACAUUGGAACUGAGACACGGUCCAAACUCCUACGGGAGGCAGCAGUGAGGAAUAUUGGUCAAUGGGCGAGAGCCUGAACCAGCCAAGUAGCGUGAAGGAUGAAGGCUCUAUGGGUCGUAAACUUCUUUUAUAUGGGAAUAAAGUUUUCCACGUGUGGAAUUUUGUAUGUACCAUAUGAAUAAGGAUCGGCUAACUCCGUGCCAGCAGCCGCGGUAAUACGGAGGAUCCGAGCGUUAUCCGGAUUUAUUGGGUUUAAAGGGAGCGUAGGUGGAUUGUUAAGUCAGUUGUGAAAGUUUGCGGCUCAACCGUAAAAUUGCAGUUGAAACUGGCAGUCUUGAGUACAGUAGAGGUGGGCGGAAUUCGUGGUGUAGCGGUGAAAUGCUUAGAUAUCACGAAGAACUCCGAUUGCGAAGGCAGCUCACUAGACUGUCACUGACACUGAUGCUCGAAAGUGUGGGUAUCAAACAGGAUUAGAUACCCUGGUAGUCCACACAGUAAACGAUGAAUACUCGCUGUUUGCGAUAUACAGUAAGCGGCCAAGCGAAAGCAUUAAGUAUUCCACCUGGGGAGUACGCCGGCAACGGUGAAACUCAAAGGAAUUGACGGGGGCCCGCACAAGCGGAGGAACAUGUGGUUUAAUUCGAUGAUACGCGAGGAACCUUACCCGGGCUUAAAUUGCAACAGAAUAUAUUGGAAACAGUAUAGCCGUAAGGCUGUUGUGAAGGUGCUGCAUGGUUGUCGUCAGCUCGUGCCGUGAGGUGUCGGCUUAAGUGCCAUAACGAGCGCAACCCUUAUCUUUAGUUACUAACAGGUUAUGCUGAGGACUCUAGAGAGACUGCCGUCGUAAGAUGUGAGGAAGGUGGGGAUGACGUCAAAUCAGCACGGCCCUUACGUCCGGGGCUACACACGUGUUACAAUGGGGGGUACAGAAGGCGGCUACCUGGUGACAGGAUGCUAAUCCCAAAAACCUCUCUCAGUUCGGAUCGAAGUCUGCAACCCGACUUCGUGAAGCUGGAUUCGCUAGUAAUCGCGCAUCAGCCAUGGCGCGGUGAAUACGUUCCCGGGCCUUGUACACACCGCCCGUCAAGCCAUGAAAGCCGGGGGUACCUGAAGUACGUAACCGCAAGGAGCGUCCUAGGGUAAAACUGGUAAUUGGGGCUAA
rnacentral:rRNA from 1 species